rnacentral:tRNA from 1 species
GGAGAGGUACCCAAGAGGCUGAAGGGGCGGGAUUGCUAAUCCUGUAGGGUGUCAUCAGAUGCCGCGGGGGUUCGAAUCCCCCCCUCUCCGCCA